UUUUUUUUUGUUUGGAGCUGGAUGCUUGCACUGCGAUCGCCCCCGUGAUUCCCUCCCCAUGGGAUCACACCAAAAAUGAACAACAGCACACGAAUGUCAUGUAGGAAAAGACACGGUGUCGUGUUCUCUUCGCUGCUGAUUGUAGUGCUCUCUGCUCUCUCUGACUAGGACGGAGGAGUUAGAUUCUGCCUAAUCCCUAGUCGGACUGUACAGCUACCUGUCUGUCACUGGUGCUCCACUUGCACUAAGGACAUCGGCGAUCUGUCUGUCUUUUCUUUUUUCUGAAACAAAAAAUACCAUUUCGUUUCAGAAAAUAUCAUUCCCCAACUCCCCAUCAGCUACUAGUUUAUAUUCAGGAAAUUGGCAAGCAACUUAACGUCUCCGGUUGUUUUUUUUCUCUUAAAUACGCAGGAGAGUUACGUAUCUUAAGAAGAAAAUAAUGUUUAAAACGUUACAACGCGGGCCUGUCGGGCACACGUACACGGAUAUUAAGAAUCACACGGAUAUUAAGAAUCGCUAAGUUACAUUGAUCACAACGCUAGCUGCUGUCAUUUGUAAAUUGUAAGGAGAUGAGCUUGCUGGGGCCGGAUUGCUUCGUUUCAAUUUUCGGGCCACUCGCUGGCUGCUUGCGAUCUGAUCUGUCUGAUGAUGAUGCAAAGCAAUGCCCGCCCUGGGCUGGGCACUGUUCGGUUUGGCUGUUGCUUCAGGCAGGCCACAGGAGGCCAAGCCACCAAACAGUGGCUUGGUUCGAUUGCAAACAAACAAACAAACUCAUUUCUCUCGUUCGUUUACCUGAUCUCUCCAUGUAAUGUAGUAACAUCCAAACCUCCAAAUGGUUUGGCGUCUUGCAGUGCUGAUGGCUCUCCUGCCAUGCCACAAACACAACAGUCUCAGCUACCAUGUGCUGGGCGCCAAUGGUGGAGAGGGAUCUCGUACAAUUCAACGUCGCGCCACCCUACCGCUCUCAUAGAUACUAAUGAGUUAUUAGUCUACUAGUGGCAACUUUGAUUGGGUUUUGGCACUGCUAUACUCCUACCAAUCAUUGGCGCAACGAGUGCCCCCUGUUUUGCUCAUCCAAUAUUUCUCAAGCCAAACCUUACUAGUAUUAGUGUUUCAUCUCACUCCAAAACCAAGCAAACCUUCUGCUUCGCAAGGACAUCAUCGGCCUGCAUCCAGUUUUGAGUACAUGAACGCCGUUUUUGCAAAUGUUUAAUUGCCUACUAGAUACUAGAUUGCAACUGAAAUAGAUGUUGCCAGAGUACUCUGAGUUUUGAAUUGUUGUACUGCACGCUUUCCCGCGGAUUGUGGUGCAAGCGCAACUGUGCAGAUCAGCUGUCGCCUUAGCUUUUCAGGCCCAACUUUUGCUUCCUCUGAUCACUGGAGUUCUGUUCUGACUUGCUAGCUGUGCUAUUUCACACUUGCACAGUGUAUAUGCAUCUUACGGCCCCUUUUUUGACGAGAGGCUGCCGUGAAUGUUGGUCUGGGCAUUCGUUCCGCGGGGGGGGGGGGGGGGGGGGGGGGGGGGGGGGUAGGAAAUAACUUAAAGUUGAACGCACAGCAUUCGUACACGAAACGGCCACACAUUCAAACGUCGUCAGUGCUUGUUCAUGUGUUGGCGGUACACGAAGGACCCGAAACCAGCUUGGCAGCGUCAGGAAAUGAUGGUCAGGUAUAUAGUACUCCAACCGACUGGUACCGCGACUGCCUGACGCUUUCAAGGACGACGCCAACAAACAGAAAAGGGACGGACCCUGGCAGUGCCAUGCCAUGCAAUGCAUCUCCCCGGUGACGAUGUGUUCAAGCAACAUUCGGAAAGAUCAUGAGAGAACGAUGGGUAACGACCAACCACAUGAUCAGAGAUUCUCAGAGUGUACACAUCGACAGGGAUGACCGACCACAGCUGAAACUAAGCUCUCUCUCAACCGCUAGCAAUAUACAUUCAUUCAGCAGUCAACAGCUACAUCUGCACUACCUCACGCAGGAUCAAUCAAGCUCGCAUUAUGGAUAUAUAGUAUCAGCUAACAAGCACCGUUCGAUGUUGUCAUGACACAAAUCAAAUCAGUUGCACGCACGCAUUGGCCCAGAGCACUCGUCAGUCACUCUUUCUUGGCAGGUUGGAGAUGACUCUGCUGUCUGAUGAAGCUGGAGGAGGAGGAGGCAGGGGAGGGAGCCGAGGAAGCGAGCGCCACGAGCAGGUCCACGAAGGCGCCUACGAUGAGGCCGUGCGUUUUCUUGCCGUUGGCCCUGAGAUACCAGCCGAGCAUCUCCUCCAGCCAUCCCCAGUCGUUUACGCCGUGGCUCAUCACCAUAUCCUCCAUGGACCGCCGGAAGUCGCCGUACGGGUCGGCGGACUCGAUGGCCAGCGCCGUCGCCCCGUCGAACGCCGCCGCAGUGGCCGCCCCCCGUUGCUUCUUCACCUUCACGAUGGAGCUCGUGGAGUCGGGCUCGAAGAAGAGCCUGCUGUUGGACCGGAGCCCGUGGAUGAUGACCUCGUCCUCGUCCGCGACGGCGGCGGCCGGUUCCGGCUCCGGCGCCGUGGAUAGGGUCGGGCAGGAGUCGUCUGAGAUGAGGCUGCAGGAGUAGUUGUCGUCGGCGGCCGGGUAGUCGAUGGCGUAGGCCGGGUUCAUGGUCGUCUUGUACUCCUCUUCGUGCUUGCUGCUGUCGUCGCGCAUGGACACGAUCUCCGGGCUGUCGCGGCGGAAGGACAGCGUCCUUGCCUGCGUGCACGAUGGCCACUGCCACGACGCCGCCGUGCUGAAGGAGGCGGCGGACAUGGAGGUGGAAGAGGAAAGGCACCGGCUCGUCUCGCUGGUGUUGAAGAAGAGGGAGGUGAGCGCGAGCUUCUUGACCAUGGUUGUUCGAUCUUGCGCGGGCUGGUGAUCGAGUAGCUGGAGAGGAAGCUGAUUGGGGCGAGGCCGUGAGAGUGUGAAAACGAGGUGGCUGGCUGGUGUCGAGGGGCAGGGAGCGAGCUGUUUUUAAAGGGAAGAGGUGGGCGGGUAGGAAGCCAAGGGAGGGACGAAGAUGCGAAGGAAGAUGCAUAGCUAGGUGUGGCGGUGCGUGCGCGUGUCUUGCGUUCUAGUGUGCGUUGGGAGUCUACGCUUGUCUCCCAGGCCUCAUCUCAUCUUUCAGGUUCAGUUGAACUAUCCACCCUGCAGGUAACCUAAAGCAUUGGCAAGGAUCUCCAAUGAACAUGUUGUACAUUCUUAUAGUAGGAUAUAUAAAGUGCGGAUGUAGACUACUACUCUGUUUUUAAACAUAGGAAGCUUGUUACUUAGUAGUAUAAUAUAUAUAUAUAUAUAUAUAUAUAUAAGAUCUAAAUGUUCAUGAUUAUGGAUAUUUAGUAAUUAUUACAUGGGAAAAGUGAUAUUUCAAACGGAAUGACCUUUUAAAUUUUAUGCUAGUGUCCAAAAUAAAAUUUUAGUGAUGUCAUUUGUGUUCUUUUACCAUGAUACCCUUAUACUAUCUAUGCUACUCAUGUAUAUUACCCAUACCACAGGUGAAGAUUUCAGUAGUAUACAAUUAAUUUUGACCAUCGGAUAUUUGUAUACUAAUCUUUUUUUUAACACUAGUAUAGUUUAGUAUUGUGUACCGUAAAAGAGCUCACGUCAUAAAUCUAAAAACCGGACAGAGUACAAGAUUUCUUUUGCAGCAUUUCUCCAUGGAUAUUACCCUAUGGAUGGUACAUUAUGUCGAAUUAGCAUUGUUCAGUGAACAAGCAUGCAUGGUAGGGAGUUGCCGAUGCCAGUUUAUGUCCUACAGGUGGCAUGGGCAAACAUUGCAGAUGAUUGGUUGAAGAUCUUGGUCAACUUUGUGGCUGAUCUCCAUCCAAAAGAAGGAUCAAAUAAUCCACACAGGAUAGUAAUGUCAUUUCCUUUAUUUUCAGGUCUGCCGACGAUCAGAUGUGCUACUAUUAGCAAUUCAGAGACCAACUGCCUGCGCCUUAGUUUAGUGCAGGCGGUUGCUCUCUACCAACAGUAGAGGAAGAAAGAGCAACGUCGCUUCCCCCAACACCUCAAAUCCUGCAGGACACGCUUGCGGUGCCAGGCAGCAGCCUGAGGAUCACACAACUGAAUUCUCCAUUAUUUUUUUUAGUCUGCUCGUGCACGACAACGAAAUACUUCCAGAAGCUCACACGACGGUGACCAAGUUUUCUUUCUUUCGAUGAAGGCGACGGUGCGUGCCCGGCCAACAUGGCAGCAAAUGGAUUGCAACGCAAGGUUCUCCAUCAUUGUACACGGACAGUAGCUAGGGUGGUUGCGGGUGUCUGAAAAAUUGAAGAUAGAGAUGGAUGCGCAUCGCACAGAGGGAAUGGUGAUCGAGGGACAUGCAAAGGUGCUCGUUCCUCUGAAACUCUACUUUUUGCUUGGUUGCCGCUUGAGAGAAUUAUAUGAAUGGUGGGCUUGCAGAGAGGGGUGUGUGAUCGCGACCUCACCUUAUCCAGGAUCAAAGCCCAUCUGUCAUGUCGUCUCAAGCUGCCUAGCCCUACCUGGUCUAACCAGGUCAAGAUGCUCUCUUCUCCUCUCCCUUCCACUGUCACAGACAAAAAGUGUUGUAUUACUGACCCAGAUAUCAGAGAUUCUCUUAGGCUAAAGCAUAAUUAGCCAAAGUGAAUAACUGUAGAACCUGAACUGUCCUUGAGAGCCAAGGUCAGGCGCCUGGAUUCAUUUACCUGAGAUUCCAAUGUCUCCACUUUCCCAAUCUUCUUUUGAGAAAGUCAGUUUUCCAAUCUGAUAUGAGGAUAAAGAAGAAAGUGCGUACCUGACCAAUCUGAAGUUCUGAACCACACAAAGGAGUAGUACUUCCUCUGAGAGGUUUAAGUUUAACUGACAGGAAGGAAUGGCAAGACCUAGAAGCAAAGAUAUGUAUGAGAUGAGAAAUAAAUGCCCUCUUGAUAUUUCAGUUCUUCUUUGCAGCUAUGGUGGCAACCACUUGUUGAAGAAAAUUCCUUGUGUAGAGCCAACUUGCCAUUUCUUAUAAUAGCACUGUUGCACUGGCAGUACUAUGCAAGUUUCCCGAAUAUCCAGUUAAAAAAGAAUAGUGGCGACAGAAACUUCGGAGCAUUUAUGCAAGUCUGGCUAACCAUGAGGCCAAAUUUAUAGCUCACCUCUCUAAGGUUUCCUUUCUCCAUUCUUUCUUCAGUGGUUGCCUCAUCCAUCACCCUCGUCACCAUAUGAAUCAGAUAUCCAUUCUACUAUCGAUGCAGCUAGCAUUGGCUCAUGCAGGUCCGUCAGAAAAUCACACCAUUCAGAGAGGCAGUGAGGCCGUCGUUACUACUUACUAGUCAUGUCGUACAAAGGCAGCAAAAUCUUCUCCAGGAUCUUAUACAGAAGAAGAGCUGGAAUAAUUGGCGCUUCCAUAGACUUGCAUUGCACAACACGAAGUUAGCGACAAGAGGAGACCACGGCGUUGUCCUGAAUGCGACGGAUCGACUAAUCUAACAGAGCUCCAUACCUGAGGAUGACCAGGAGCUCAUAUCAUUCAGUUUUAGCUGGAUGUUGUUAUCUUCAGCAACCAGCCUGUUAUCGCCUCUCGAAUAUUUGUAGUUAAGUUACAUUGGUUUACUGAAUGAUCGGUGAUUGAAUUACUGCCAAAUAUCGGCGUUGUACUAUCUGGUCGGCGGCAAGGCUGAUGCCAUUGCCUACCUGUAUUACUGCAGGAUGCUGCAGUCUGCAUAGGACAAGCCCAGGUGACUGUAGGUGAAAGCCUGUAUGCUGUACUGUUUGCAACAGUAUUAAUGACAGUUGGAUCAUGCAAAAACACAUCUCGGACGCUUUUGUUUUAUAUUUCACUCACAAUUUUUGCGAGGGAGCACAUCUCAGAUUGUCUGAUGCUAUAUGCAGCAGCUUUCCAUCAUGUAUUCCACACGCUGGAUGCUGCAGGAUAUACUAUGGCCAGCCAGUGUCAGGCAUAAUGCUUCACGUUCCAAUUCGAUUUUACACAAAGUAAAAUUUGGGAGACCAGUUUGAAUGCAUUCCCUGCCUGCAAUCUGUCAGAUCAUCCUUUUGAUACGCCAAUUUAACUUCUCAGUUCGAAACAAGGAACGAUGGAAAUUUAGUUUCGAAAUGCUUCACAAAGAACUUUUGUGUUGACUAUAGGAAAGAUGUCAGCUUCUAUAAUCACGAGAGAAAAGAUGCACUGUUGCAGUAUCCGUAGGGCUCUUGCUAACAAUAACAGAUCCAAUGCUGUGAAACAUGCAGAAAUGCAGGUUCCCGAGAGGCAAACAGGGGUCUAGGAACUGUUGCUAUAAAGAUCGCCUGGAUUGGUAGGAAAGGACUAGUUAAGGACUCCCCAAGUACUGUGUUGAUGUGUUCCCUUUUCCCAGCUCAAUGAUGGAGCUUUCCUGUUUGCUAAUCACGAUUGAUUUUUUUUAAGUGGGGACAAAGGCAAUGGCAAAUGUAAAUGAUGAGGUGCAAUAAUACGAAACAUGUCUUAUGUAUCCACUGUGUAUACUAUUCCUUGCCUGCUAUCAACUGCAUGGACACGACAGCUACACACAGAAAAUUGAGAAAUAAAAAAAAACGAGGGCAUCAAAUCUUGCUUCUGAGGCUUUGAAUCUCAAUUGGCCGUGCUGUUGCUGACGCCUACAGGCGAUUUGUUUUGUAGCCAUAGGAUGCAUCUGGGCUUUGUUCAUUUGCCAGGCUCAAUCCAAAGUGGAUUGUGGAUUGGUUGGCCACCAAGGAGCAGGAUUCACGUGGGAAGUACUCCCUCCAUUCUCCAUUCUCUUUUCUCUUUGAUAUAGGGUUAUUUCCAAAUCUGAAAAAUUCUCAUUUGAUAGCCUUAUUUCAAUCCAUCCAUUUAAUAGAUGUUUCGGGCCUCAUGCGCGACCCUUCAUUCCUCCAUGUGCCGGCUACGUGGGUAUCAAGAAGUUCGAGCCUUAAUGAAUCGCUUGUUUACGAGUAAUAACUAAUGGCAUGGUUAAAUAGAUGAUAAGCAGGAUUCCUUGGUCACUGUGCUAAGGUGAAAUAGGACUAUCAAAAUAGAAUGGAGGGAGUAACCUUUUAGAAUCUAAAAUUUGUCAAUCCUUUUAGAAUCUAAAAUUUGUUCCACAAAUAGUGUCUUUUUACCUCCUAGUAAAUCCCAUCUAAUUAAAGAAAAUACUCACACCAAUAAAAAGAGUAUAUGGAAAAGCGCAUAGAGCCAAUCAAAUGAUCCAUUGAUAAUAUUUCUCUGGUUCCAAUGCACGUGCAUUUAUUUAGGAUCCAGAAAAUUAAACAGACAACAUAAUUUUCAAUCACAAUUAGUAUUAGUUAUUUGGGGUAAUAUGAACAUUUCUCAUCACUACUAUUGUAUAUGAACAGACACUCUUUGCGGGAUGGAGGGAGUAAGGCAUAGCUGCAUUCCAAGAACCCGAGAACCUAGCAUAGUUCCCUUAAACGGCCAUUGGCUCAAUUAAAUGGGGUAAUGGCCCAAUUAAAUGGGGAGUAGAUCAUUUUAGUAUUUAUAGAUUCAGAACUUUUUCUAUACAUCUAAAUAUAUGCUAGAAAAGUUAAAACAAUCUACAAUUUAGAAUGGGCGGAGUAUAUGCUAACCGCCUAUCUCCGUUUAGCCAGUUUUUUAGCUCAUUUAUAUGAUCGUUAAACGGGAGCGUCUAGGUCAACACUCGCCUUGGAGAAAAAACGAGAGGAAGAGAAAAGGUUGAAAGAAGAAGACAAGACAAGGAAAACAACAACAAUAGCUCGAAACAUGAGCAAAGCCCGGCCCAAGCUGAAAAAAGCAGGCUUAUCUUUAAUAGACGAAUCCUGAUCUCGGGCAUUCCGCGAGCCCUCGUUGAACCACGUCAUCAGCUAAUCCGAACCGUCCGUUUCCCUGCAUUACUCGAUCGGGCCGUCGGAGGCGCGGGCGUCGCGACUCCUCGCCGCCGCUUCCAUCACGCCUGUCCCUCCCCCGCACGGCGCAACGCGCCCUUCUCCGCCAGACGGUGGCGGCGCGGCGCGAGGAGGCUGCCUCCUAGCAUUGGUGGCGGAGACCCCAAAGAGGAGAAGUCACCGGCGGUUUGAUGUCGGAGACAGAGAGCGGCGCAGCUGGAGCCACGACGCCAACGCGCCUCGUGGGCUGGGGCGCGGCGUCCGGCCUCUUUCCCCGGGCUCUCACGAACCCGUUCAAGCUGAGCGACUCAUCUCCCCCGCGUCGCAACUCGCAAGCACGGAGAAGCCGCCGCCCUCUGCCUGCCCCCGCCGCCCACGCAUUUCUCCGCCUACGGGCUGCGGCUCGCGUGCGCCUCUCCCCGCUAACCUCGGCUCUCCACCUGCCACGCUGCCCACCCCGCCCGGCCCUUCCCUUUGCCGCGGUCGCGGCCCCGCCGCCUCGUCCCCUACCUCGCACAGCACGGCGUGCGUACUCUCGCAUGGUCCCCGGGGGCGUCGUCGGGACGCCAAGUUCAGCCCCAGCCUGCCACCACUCAGACGCACACCACGUGUUUGACAUCAGGUCUCAAGGUCGACCACAACACCAAAUCCAUCAGCGUUUCAGCAGCAGGGUUGACAAAGCUCUCGACAUCAGCCGGCGAAUAAUGACGAGGUCAGCCUUCAACACGUGUGUAAUUGAGAACCAAAAAACAUACUCACGUUAUGAGGCUUAAUCAGGGGAGUUCAGCUGCUUUGCUGUUGGAUUUGGAGGGCACGAUCCAGCUGUCAGGGAAUGCAGGCUUCAAUUUCCUCGAUUUUAGAGGCCUGAGAGCCAUUGUAUUAUUCACAUUACUCGUAUAAAUAUUGCUUCUAAAAUUUAGUUCAAUCGUAUCUGUUGUAUUGUAUAUAUGAUGAUAAAAUUGGAGAAGUGCUCACUUUGUGCUGAGCUGCUGAUUAUGCAUCUUUAUUAUACAAUUCUGAAGGAUAUAAGCUUGAUUACAAAUUUAUAUCAUGAUUGCAGGCAAAUCUACUGAUCGCUCAGUUGGAAUUCCUCAACGAGGAAGGACCACAACCUGAGCUCUGAACGCGGUAAGCUCCAGUUCUUAUGCAUUGUUACUUUCUUUCUCGCCUAGGAUGAUAGAUCGUGCUUCCUGAACAGCGCAGUCAAUAAAGCUUUUUGUUCGCAGAUAACAAUCAUUCAAAUUGUUGUUAAUCAAGCUCUGAACUGGAUGUCUCUGAUGAUACCUGCUGAAAGUUAAAUGUUUUCCACAUUAUAAAAUCACAACAGCUGAACUGGAUGUCUCUGAUGAUACCUGCUGAAAGUGCCCACCAGUUCACCACUUUGGUUUUUUAAUUUAGGUUUCCCUGAAGAGAAGGAUUUCUAUUUGAUGGAGCCCAACCCCUUGGAAAAAGUGUCCUAGUCCAUCUAUCUCUGAAUCUUCUUUGUUGCAUCCUACUGGGCAACAAUCUGCAGACAUUAGAACUGCAGAUUUGCAUUUUGGUAGAAUAUAUCAGGAAAUACCAUAAGAAGGUAGUCAAGAUAGAUAUGCAGGUUUUGCAAUUUUGCAUCAAUUCAACUUUUACUUCCUAAUAAUUUCCUUAAUUGUUUUUUUUUAAAGAACAACGCACAAGAUAGUGCGUGUUUCAUUGAUAUAGCAGAAAAUUAGGUAGGAAAAGGAAAAGAAAAGGAAAACAAAAAAGAUUCACCCGGUUGGAUUGGGACAUCAACGCGGGUCACCACUCAACUCAAAACCAGCACACCCGACCGGUUGGAUUGGGACGUUAACGCGGCCUCCCCACUCCAUUCACCACGGCGGCAUCCACCAACAAUCACGCUCAUCAAUUUGCCGAAACCUCCAAGCGUGGCCCUGUGUCGACACCGAUAGAAGCAGACUGCGCUGCACCGAGAAGGCCACCGCCAUGCGGAACCCUCCUCCUUAAUUGUUAGACUCUUAUAGUCAGGCUAAUGUAUAGAAAAAAUAGAAAAUAUAAGAUUAUGUUAUGUCCACAAUGUCUGCUAAAAGUGCAUUAACCUGGGUGUGCUGAAAUCAGGAUAACAGAGUGGUGAUAGGUUUAUUCUGUUAUCAAAAUGUUUAAAGCCAUGUAAAAGAGGGAAGGCAUAAACUUAAUUCAGUAUAAAGAAUUGCGUUCCCAAAGGAAAUUGGCAUGGAUAUGCUAACAUAAGUUGCCAAUGCGACUCAGUAACUAGUAUAUUAUACAUUUGUUCCACUCACUUCUCACGGAAAAUAUAAUUCUAUUUCUUUCCAAUUGAUCCAGGCAGUGGAAUUAUCACACAACAUAAUAACUUAACUCAUGGAUCCAUAAAAAAUUAAAUACGGCUUACCUAGGGUGGCGCGGCCCGGGUUUUCUAGUUUAGCCUAAAAUUCGUAUCCACAACUAUCCUAUGGGUCCGUUUUCUGAACCGGGCUCAAGUUUCCCAUUCUUUUUAAUGAGAAAAUAAUUAGAAUAAAUUAUUUGGGUUGGUCUUUGCCCAAGCCCGACUGUAGCGGGCCAGAUGAAAAGCAUGUUGGUUUCGGGGCUCGAUCCAGGUUAAACUAGGCCAAAAAUUGCUUAGGUCUAAGCUAGAAAAUCAGGUCCUAAACUCAUGUGUAGGGAAGGGGCAAAACGACCAUGUGUCCUACGGAUGACUCUUGUCAUUAGCUUAAGCAUUCAUUGAUGAUGGUAAACCAGUUGGUGACCACUUGCAAGAAGAGGUGGCAUAUCUUUGCAUGGGGAAAAGGAGAGAGAACAGGAGGAUUUGGCGAAAGAAGAAGCAACCGACCCUGGUCGAUGGGUGAGUGUUGAGGCCAUAGGUUGGGAGACAGUGACGGCGGAGUGCUGCCCUGCCCAUCACCAACAACUCAUAACAACGCAGAAAGCAGAGGUGGGCACGAACUCACUCUGUGUUGGCGUCGUCAAGUCCCUGGAGACGGGGGAGUUGGGCGUCGUCGGCCUGCUGUCGCUUGCAUGUAGCGCAAGCAACCCACAUGGGUUUGUUUUUUCCUUAUAAGAUGGGUUAGCGUUUGGCUACUAUAUGUGACAAGGAGACAUCAUCAUUUGGCUCGUCGGUGUCUCGAUUCAUCUUAGAACGAACCUUGUCGAUGAAGACCUGACAAGGUAGAUGCAGAUGGAUUCCUUCACGUUCAGGGGCCAGAGUCUGAACUGAGAUGCAAAGCCCUGCAGACAAGCUGGUACUGGUUGUUUUCGAAAGAUCGCCCUCCCUCUUGAUUUCGUGGCUUGCAUGACGUUCUUGGCGUUUCAUUUUUGCAUCAAAGAUACCACUCAGUAUGCCUUGGACAGAGACGCCUUAUUCAUCGUUCGGUGUGAUACCAAACGAUCUGAACUGAAAUUCUUAGAUGAAUUAUGAUGCGGUUGAGCAGAGAUGUAGCCGUGGCAAACCAAGAUUAAGCCCAGCUGCAUGAUUCCCUUCAGAUGGAAUGUCGGCGUCUCAUGGAUUUUUCGCGUCCCCACCGUUCACUGUUUACCGCACGAAACGAAAAGAGAAAAAGUUUGGUGCUUGUCAGCUGCAAGGCAUCUCGUUCAAAUUCUGAAGCGGGACAAACUUUUGCUCAGCCUUUUGUCGAGAUAGGCUGACUGAUGUGAAAUCUCACGUCUGUUUGGGUCGAGUUCUCAGCCUGACAGGCACAAAAUCUUGAGCUGGUGUAUGGAUACAAGGAACAGUACCACUGUACCCGUGCCUGGUGCUGAUGACUUCACUUCUUUUCACGCUGUUUCAAGAGUGGCGAAAUCCACACCCGUUUUCAAGAGUGUGUGGCAACUGGCAAAGCAAACGAUGAAACGAAUGCUGACGGACGGUGCAUGCUGGUGCAGUUCGGCUGGCGGGGUUUCCGUGCUAAAAAUGAGACCCGAAAAUGCAGUUCAAAAAUUUUGUAUAAAGCUCAAUUACCUUUUGUUUUGUUUUGAACAUAAUUACUUUUUACUUGGAUCCUAUCAUUUGCUGCACACUUAAAAGGGCAUGGCAAUGGUAUGCUGCUCCGAUUUGGUUGGUCAGCACUGAGCAGCAAGCAGGAACAAAGGAGGUUUGACGACGUGCAGACAAGCAUGCCGCUACCCUAGUGUUAUUCAAAUGCCUUGGUUCAAUUGGGGCGCACCUUUUGCAAUACUUUGAACCGGCACCCAUCUUGACCCCUAGCUCAAUCAUGUCCUGGAACGACGUCACGUACGAAUGAAUUCAACCUGAUUAACGAAGAUUGACAAGAGUGGAAGUCAUGAAUGGGUGCAGAGAUAUUAUGUGAAUUUUUUAGGUUAGCACUAGAGUACGUAGCAUAGAGUUUCAGUUGUUGUCAGAAUAAAGAAGUGGCGACUGCGGCGUAACCGUCGAUCGGCGGGAAUAAAAUAGAAAUCGAGUUCGAUAAUUGCGUGUACUAAAUUAGUAGUAAAGCAAUGCAGAAUUGGUUGACCCUGUUCCGUGGAAUGCUUGCCUGCCCAAGUCACCGGUUGGUUACCAAAUAAUAUUAGUGUUGUUAGUCUUUUGUAAAGCGAAAGCUGCUGCCUGGGUCGUCUGCAAAAAAGGGGGUGAAUAAUCGGAGUCAAAAGUCGUGUUGAAAGAACCGAUUGAGUGAUGGAAUGCACUGUCCCUGGCCACUCUCCUCUUCCUUUGAGACCAUCAUGUUCACCAGCAAUCCAAGGAGAGAGCAAGCAGUAGUAUGGCUGAGGCUGUCCAGCUUCUAAAUUUUCUCUCGAGCUUGCUGACAUACUCCAUCCGAGAGUACCUAGCUCUCCUGCGCAUAGGUAUUAGAGGUAUUAGAACCGGACCGGACCGAUGGUUCGACCAGCAAAAGACCGAACCAGAGCCUACAACAGUUCGGUGUUCGGUUUGCUUAAAAGACCGUCCCUGCAAUCGAACCGGUAAAAAUCAGCCCAAGCACCAUUUAUCGUACAUACAUCUAUGGGCCCACCAGAAGAUUUGGAUAGUCCUCAAUGUGGGGCUGAAUACCAAGACGCAUCUGACAUGGAGAUCAUGGCGCAGGAUGGCGUAGUCUGCAUGGGAAGACACGAACUAGUCGAGGAUUAGUAAAGUACUCGUUGUAAUAAGAAUAGAGCUCCUCUAGUCGUAUCCGACUAAUAUUCUUGUAAAUCAACCGACCUGUAACCCUAUCCCCGACUAUAUAAGGCGAGCUAGGGACCCCUCCAAAGCAAUUCAAUCCAACCAACACACAGGAUGUAGGGUAUUACGCUAUUUAGCAGCCCGAACCUGUCUAAAUCGUGUGUCUGCGUUUAUCUUCGAGUUCCUGAUUUCGACAAGCCCCACCAACCUAAAUACUACUUCGGGCACCCCCUUGGUAGGAUGCCGGGUCUAAACACCAACAGCUGACAUGCCAGGUAGGGGAUCUUGUCGAGAAUCCGCUGGCGAACUCGAUGGCACAAGUCAUCAUCAAGCCCGUCGUCACUUUCAAGGAAGGUGCGACGUCCAUUUUUGGCUCCUGGAUCUGCGUCACAGACGGCGUCGGAAGUUUCUGCUGCUACAUCGCACCAGCAAUUGUGGCUCCUUCUUCGUACUGAAUUUCUUUUUCUUCUCGCCAUCGGCAGUCUUGGAUCCGGCGGUCUUCCUCCCUAUCCUUGAUGCCAUGAGCGUCUUCAGUCGCAUACGCUCGGGGGCUAGAAGGGAUGGAGGGCGGCGAUGCAAGUGCUCAGAGAUUGGGCAGUGGCGACAGCACUAAGGUUACAAUACAGAUGUUGGAAAGGCAAAUGGCAAGGGUAAAAUGGAAGGGAUGAACUUCCUUCGUUAUUUAUAACAGUGGCACGGUAAAAAUUGUGCAAGUGAAUGGUUUUCGAUUUAUAGGAUCCCCAAAAUUUAGAAGAUUUGAUUGGCAGUUGCCUUUAUUUCGGGAGGAGAUAAGAUCUCUUUCCAGAGAUGGUCACGUCGACCAAAGGUUGAUCCUUAUACCCACCAAACUAGUUGGCUAAAGGCUCGAGGACUGUGUACCACGUGUCCAUCGAUAGAAAGUUUUUCUCCGGAUUUUAAAGGGAAAGUGAUGCUAAUUACAGAUUGACCUUCAGCCUGAUUCUUCGAUUCUACCUAAGGCUCGAGGCUACUCCAUAUGAAGUGUGAUUUCAAUAAGAAUUCAAGAUCAACAUUACAAAGUUGAGUUCAAAGAGGGUUUGAGCACCUUUUAGGCUCAUUACAGUUUUUUUUGCACCUUUGAAGAUCUAACCAUAUGAAGUACUCGAGGAGUAUCAAGAGUAGUUGGUGGAGACUUCAAAAGUACUCGGUUUUGCUACAUUUGGCUAAAAAGUAUUUGGGAGCUUGUCGUACAUACAUCUAUGGAUCCACUAAAAGGUUUGGACAAUUCUAAAUAUGGGGCUGGACACCGAGACACAUCUGACAUGAAGACCAUGGCGCAGGGCGACGUAGUCUACGUGGGAAGACAGGAACUAAUCAAGGAUUAGGAAAGUACUUGUUGUAAUAAGAGUAGAACUCCUCUCCUCUAGUCAUAUCCGACUAGUAUUUUUAUAAAUCAACCGACCUGUAACCCUGCCCCCGACUAUACAAGGCGAGGCAGGGAUCCCUCCAAAGCAAUUCAAUCCAACCAACACACAGGACGUAGGGUAUUACGCUAUUCAGCGGUCCAAACUUGUCUAAAUCGUAUGUCUGCAUUUAUCUUCGAGUUUCUGAUCUCGAUGAGCCUCACCAACUAGAAACACUACCUUAAGCACCCCCUCGGUAGUUGCCGGAUCUAAACAACGACAUCCUUCUCGUCUCCGUUCCGCUUCUGUUGCUCGCACACGCUGGGUCGCGUGGCGGCGGCAGCAGCGGAUUGGCGGCACAUCAUGACCAAGCGGCGGCGGGCGUUUCUCCUCCCGCAUCCCUGUUGCCCUGCCCGUUGCUUGCCGGCUGCGGCCGCCUGACCCCUGCUCGUUCUUCGCCGGCAGAGGCCUCUCGUCUCUGAGGCCGAAGGCCCUGGCAACGUAGCUGGCAUUCAUUUCCUUUCUUGGCUGAUAUCUCGGAGCAGCACUUCCUUUCCACCGUACCAUGCAGAUGUAAGCUAGGUAGCCCCAGGCUCAGGCCUAGCCUCGGCAAUAAUCUCAUUAGCAUGCAGUCCGUGUUCUUCCCGUUCUUCACCAGCAACAGGCGAAGGGCAAAGGUCAGUAUCCAAAGUGCAUACUCGAACUAUUCCAUUUGUAUAUUGUUGGCCUGCUUCUGCUUGCGUCGAUUGGACAUUGGAGUGGAGAUUAGCCGGAGUAGGAUCUUGGCAAGAUGGAAGUUUUUAUUAGCUAUGAAUCUAUGAUAUUCUAGUGAUAUAUUGGCCAUGCUUCUCUGGACUCUGAAGAAAGGAUGCCAACUUGGAAAUUUGAAUGGAGCUAUUGUGGCCAUAUAUUAUAUUUGUGUUAUUUAUGUGAACUAUAUAAUGGUAAUUAUCAAUUGUAUAAGUGUAUAUAGCACUGGUUCAAAAUUUCUUGUUGCCGGUACAAUUCAACGGUCCAAAAUUAUUGAACCACUGGUUCAACCGGUUCCUAACAGUGAACCAUUGAACCGAAGUCCUACCAGUUCGAUGACCGGUCCGAUCCUAAUAACUAUAACUGUGCUCCUGCGUAUUUGAGUGAGGGGAAAAAAGAACUACUGGAUUCGAAGCGUUCCAGGCGGGGGUUCCUUGUGUUGACUGGAGCCAACGAGGCCAAGUCACGGUGCUGCUGGUCCGUGGUGGAAUCAAUCGGAGCAGCGUCGGCGUCGGCGUCGCCGUUUCCGUUCCCCCCACCCCUCACGCGUUCAAACAUUCCACGGACCGACUGCCGGUCAACCGCCAACGGCACUGUCCUCUCUCUGCUCUCCAACCAAGUGGGUUUUCACUGUUGCGGCCGGCGAUCAUUUGGUUUCAUUUCAAACUCAUUUUCUAAUUGGACGGCCUUGGCAGGCACUGGAGACUUCGCACGCCAGGGCCCUGCUCCAACUCCGCUGCUGCUGGAGCGGAGGAUUUCUUUUCCUUCCAGCGAAACAGAGGAAUCAUAAAACUCGUGAAAAUUAACCAAUCAAAGAACCCUUUUUUUCUCUCUUCGUGUUAAUUAUUGUCCCGAAUUCAUUUCGGGAGAGGAGCAGCAAAUGCGCUGCUCUGUACAAGAGAGGAGAAGAGACAAUCAUCUGUUCUUGGCGGUGUCUUCGAGCUCGAGGCCGAAGAGCACGCCGGCGCAUAGCUCCGUUGUGCCUUCCUUGGCGAAGUAGAGGCGCUUCAUCUGCCGGAACGUGUCCCAGGUGAGGAUGCUGUCGGACGCGGCCUGGUGGCACCGCCCCGCGGCGCGCCUCACCUCGAGCGCCGCCGCGACGCGCUCCAGCCCGCCGAAGAGCCCGCCGCAGAAGCGCAUCAUGUGCUUGACGUCGUACACCUCGGGGCCGAAGUAGACGCGCACGUAUUUCAAAAACUCGGGCAGCGAGCGCGGGAGCUUGCGGCCCAUGAGGAUCUUGACGAGGUAGGCGAAGUCGUAGGCGGAGUGGAAGGUGACCCAGGCCACCUCCGGGUUGCACACCAGGCCCGACGACAUGAGCAGCGCCGCGAAGGCGCGCGCGCUGACGCCCCUGGCGCGGUGCGCGGCCAGGUCGAGGCCGCUGGAGGCAAGGAGCUGGACAGAGUCCGGGGCGUGGCGGUGCACGCGCGGGUCGAACUCGCGGAGGUUGACCUCGAAGGCGAGGGCGGGCGGGGAGGUCGGGGAGGCGGCGAAGGUGAGGCCGACCUGGAUGAGGUGGAGCGCGUCGACGUUGGACUUGAUGAGGGCGUAGCGCUCGGCGGGGGUCAUGGCGGCGGGGUGCUUGGAGGGGCGGUGGAUGACGCCCGGGAACUCCGUGUCCAUGGACACGUAGGGGAAGUGCUCGAUGGCCGCGCGGAUCAGCUUGAACUCGCGGUCCACGUUGUCCGCCCACACCUGGCGGAUCUCUAGCUGCUGAUGCUGGUGCUGGUGAUGCUGCUUCUCCCUCCACCCGCCGGCGGCCAACUCCUCGGAAGGCAUCUUCUUAAUUCUUCUUCUUUUCCGAUCGGUCGAUCAAAUUCUCAAUUGAGGCGAAUUGAAUUUUGACGGAUCCCUUCGUCUUCGCCAAACUCUUCGGAGGGGAGAUGAGAAGAGAAUUUGAGGCUUGGGAUGGUUGGGUGGGCUUGCUCGGCGAGGGAAUUUAGGGAUUGCGGCCAUGGUCGCCGGGGUUUUAUAGGAAGGAUGGAUGGAUGGAUGGAUGGGGCGAGGGGGCGGAACGGGGCAGGAGGGUGCGGGGAAUUGUACAAGGAAGGCGGCGGGCGCGCGGAGAUCCGUGCGACAGGGGUCGAUCGACGGUGGGUGGGGCACGACGCGUUUAUGGCGUGCGGGCGACGAGGAAGGAAACUAUAAAUGAUUGGGGUGCCGUGCGUCCAGGUUGACCGACCGGACUUGUACCAGAGCACAACAUCAAGGAAGGAAACUGGCCACCCCUGGCAAACCAGUCCAAGUGGUUUCCAUUUUUUCUUUCCUUUUUGUUGGAGGCCACGCACCUGGACUAGCAGAAAGAGAUAGUAGAGGAGGGGAUGUUGUGUUCAAGGCAGGUCGACUCGGUCUGCAUUAAACAAACACUUUGGUUCAAUUCUUUUCGUUUUAUUUUAUUGCGUUGUCAAGGUAGGCACGGUGCGUCCCUGGAAUUUCGCAAUGUUUUUAGUGUCAAGGUUGUUGCUUUUGGGUGCACUGAGUUGAAAAUAUAGUGUGUUUGAACUUUUUUUUUCGAUACGAGACUCGCCCCCAUUUCCAUUCGAAGAACGGAUAUUAACCUGAUUCAGGCAAGAUACACUAAAACAGAGUUUAAACCCCUAGGUUUCCUAGAGGUACAAUUCUCUCACUACUUGGAUACACAAAAGGGAACCUCCACAACCACAUUAAGUAUGACUAACGGUCCGGGAAGACACUAAGCUCCUUUACGUCGCACUAAACUGCAAAGGAGAUGAAGACGGUUGUUGAUGCUUCAGGCUUCUGCUCCUCCAUUCCCAUCGCCCUCCUCACGCUGUUCCGGUGGUUCAGCUCAUAGUAGCCUCGUCCGAGGAGUCUAUUGCGCCAUCACCUUGUGCGUGCAUGCCAACAGUCUUGACGCCUUUCCAAUAGCUUGCCUUGAAAUUCAGAGUUGUACAAACCUGCCCAAUAGUUCAUAAAGGCACAGGCAUGGAUCAGAAUUUCAGAUGGAUUUCUCAGUAUAGCUCUCUUUUAAGUGUCUUUGUGAACAAAGAAGGAUGUGUUUGAAUUAUGGAUUAACUUUGACAAAAACUAUGCAACUAAUGGAAAAGGAAUCUAAUCCCAAUUUGGUGGGGAUUCCAAAUGAUGCUGCCCAACCAGGGCAUGGCACGGGGGGAACAGGGGCAAGUGCCAACCCACCCAACCCAACACACGGAUGCAUGCUUGGUGUGAGUGAAUAAGGACAUGCGAAAUCGGCUGAAAAGGAUGAGAUCGGAUUGGAGCAGCAGAGCUGCUGUUUCUUCUUCUUUAUACACUGUUAGUUAGGAGCAUAUUUUUUUUAGAUUAAGGGAAAAGGUUUUACAGCCUCUACACCGUAGACACACAUGGAUAGGAUAUGCAUCGCACGCUCGCUAUUUGCCACCGCGAUCGAUCCGCCGUCGACCAAAACACUCCUCAAUUGCGCUGCUAGCAUCGGCGGCAGCUAUUCACCUGAUGAUACGGAGCACCUGGACACCAGCUAGCCGACACACUGCCGGCUCAUGCACAGCAGCACUGGGUGCCAGCGCAAGGGGAAGGAAGGAAGAGCGGGAGCAAGACCGUGGACUCGUCGGCAAGGACAGACAGACCCGGUCGGCGGUCAUCGCUCCACUGGUCGCACGUGGAACACGGCAACUGGGUUGUGGUCUGAGUGUGAGCCUGGAGCUUCCGUUACGCGGGUUCCGUUGCUUUCUGCAGCCACAAGACUGACUCGGCGCAACUCUCUCUUAUAGGAAGGAGUAUGUGUCAGCGUCAGCCCAGGGCCCAGCAACAAGUCAGCGUCGCUCGUGCACCCGCAGUCUGCAGUCAGGCCUCCGCAUUUGACUGACCCAGUAAAAUUAUACUCCACUCCACUCCGGCACUACCCUCCCGGAUGCUCGUGCACUGCGUCGACUGCGUCCGGGUGAUGACUACUGAUGAGUCUCCUCCUCUCCUCCUGGCUCCAGGCUCCUACCACUCGCUCCCCCUACGUCUGCGUGGUUGGUGAGCAACGAACGAACGAUACGGAAACCAAAUGAGAAAUUUUGACUAGUUUUGCGACCGGUACGGGACAAGCGCAGGUGCACAGGACCUGGACUGGAACUGGAUGGAUGGCGGGCAGAGAGCGACUUGUGCCGUGCAGUGUCCCGAGAGAGUGCGAUUCCACUUGCAAUCAAUAGGCCGGCCGGCCAGCCAGCAGCGCGUGCAGAAUUCCUGAACGAAACCUCCUGGACGUACAUGCGCCUACAGGACGGAACGUCCUCACCACCAAACUCAACCCAACAAACCCAUACCAUACCAGGCAGCGCACCAAAUGGAAUGGAAGGAUGGCACCACACAGCAGAAUGCAUAUAUAUAUGUAGGGGAAGGCCACAGCUGCUAAUUUCCCUGGUCAUCAUGGGCGAGGAAGAAGAAGGUCCCUUCCGGUGGCUGGAGCAGCUUGCGGUUGUGCGGCGCGGCCAUCUCCUUCUUGAGCUGCGUCAGGAUGUGCUCCAUCGUGUACUCCCGCUGCCAGUCGGACAGCACCGCCAGCUUGCUGCCUUCCACCAGGCCGGUGUCCGGGUCGACGCAGGUGAGGUUGAUCCUCGAGUGGAACCGCACCGUGGGCGGCUUGUCGGGGUAGUCCUUGUCGCACAGCAGCUUCAGCUGGUAGAUGCGACCCUCGUGCACCGACUGCGCGCAUGCACAUGGUGGUCGAUGAGCUAGCUAAGCUAAUGGAUGAAUGGAUGAAGAAAAGCAACAACAUGCAUGAUGAUGCAGAUGAUACACCGCGUACGUACGUUGAGCGGGCCUAUGAUGGUUCCCGUCCACGAGCGCAUGAAGAUGUCGUCGCCGUCGUCCAUGCCGUAGCUGACGGUGCCGUCGCCGACGCCCUUCUCGCCGCGCUCCAGCUCCUCCAGCAGCCGGAAGUUGCGGGGCACUGCAUGCAGCAGCCAAGGUGAUGAGGCCCAGCCCACGCGCGCUUGGCUUGCUUGCAACAACAGAACGGGAAUGAAAGGGAGGAAGACAAGGAAAGGAAAUUAAGGUACCGACGACGCUGCUGGCGGAGGCGCCGGAGCCCAUCGUCAUCUUGUGUUGGCGGAACAGAGCAGAGGAGAGGAGAAGCACGGACGGCGUUGGGCAACCCGGGGCAUAAAAGGGGAACGAUGGGUGCGUUUGCCGCCGCUGCCACAGGGGAGGGGUGGUGCGUGCGAACCACGCACCGGCCGGCCGAGAUGCCCACUCCGCUCCUUUUUUUUCCUUUUUGUCAACGGGGGGCAUCGCACCGCAGCCAAACAAAGGCAGCGACAACAAGAGCCCCCGGAUGUCAUGGAGAGCUGCAGACAGAGGCCGUCUGAUUCGAAAGCGACGCGAUGCAGAUCAGAGACGGUUCGUUCGCUGCUACUCGUUGGGGUCGUUGCGUUUCUGGGCUGGGCCGCGCUCUCUGGGCCGGACAAAAAAUGGACCCUGAGAGACUGUUGCGGGCUCAUGUAACGUGCUCUUUGUGUCCGGGAAACCUACGUGGCUUCCGGAAGUUUUCUAGUUAUCUGGCCUCCGCUAGAUUCGUGCAACGCUUAACCUCUAUCAUCAGAUCCGCUCCGUCUUCUUCCACUGCUCCUACCCCGUGCCGCCGCCAACCCUGUCGGCUCGCUUUUCUAGCCGUGAGGAGUGAGAGAUGGAGGGAGCAGCUAGCGGCGAGGUCGCCGCCAGCCGGGGUGGUGGUUGAGGUGGCGGCACUUAAGGUUUCGGGUUUCUUGGGGAGCCGGGGCUCUAAUAGCCAAUGGCCUUAGAGGAGAAGGGCGGCGGCGGCGGCAAUUCGGCUGGCGGUGGAGGCGAGGCGUCGUGGGAGCGCCGCAAGCCGGGCAGGGCGGGGCAGGGCAUCUGGUGGUUGGAGGUUGGCAAUGGGAAAGAGGAAGCUUGCUAGGUUAGGUAAGGCAGGGUCGGAGGGGCGCCGGUGGAUGGUCAGCGGGCUAGCCGCCAGUCGGUCUGGUGGAUGAGGGGGUGGGGGUUGGUGGCGCGUCGGGAAAGAAGAAGGGUUGGAGCCUCGAGCAGAGUAUGAGCUGGCGCGUUGAGAAAGACAGCAACGGAUGGACCUCGUGGGCCUCUAAGUCACGACUCCUAUAUAGCUUCCACAAGCCAGAUACUCCCUUCAUUGGUUUUUGAUGGGAUAUUUCAUCUUGACACAAUGAUUAAGAAAAACAACUCUACUUAGGCCAGUCUCAAUGAGAAUGUCAUGGAGGUUUUUUAUUAAAUCUCAUGCCACAUUAGCAAAACUGCUGACUUGGUAGGCUAAUUAUGAGGAGAGAGGAAAAGAGAGUUUCAUCCCAUGAAAUCCACCUGUCACAGUUACCAAGUGCAUGAAACCCAAUGAAACUUGCACUAAGGAUGUUAUGGUUUCAUGGCACGACACAUUUGAUCAUAACACAAUACAAGAAUUAAAUGAUGCAGUCUAUCUAUGUAACUGUGCACUGAGACUGAUAAUUUCAUUUCAUUUAAAAGUUGACAUGGCACUCUUGAUAAUAGUGCGAUGAAAUCAUGCACUGAAACUGACCUUAUCAUCUAAUUAAUGCAAACAAGGUUUUUUCAUUAAUCCUCCAAUAGUGACUCCUCAUUGUUGAUGCAAUUUAUUGCCGUGGUCCACAUUACUGUCAAGCAGUACUAUCAUUUGUGAAAAUCUGAAUUUUGAAAAUAUCUCUAUUAAUGGAGAAUGGAGAGAGUAUUAAGAAGAGGGCGCUGGUUGCAUCAGCAACUCCACGAGGGAGGACAGGACAGACACGUAAAAGUGCAAUAAAGACGUGCAACCGUGGAGGCCUGUAUCGACUGGCAACAACACCUCGAGGCGACGGCGAGGCGGCCGGCGGCCGGCGGCUGUAUCGACCGUCCGAUGGAUCCCUGUCAAUUUUGUUUCUUUAGCUCGCUCGCUCACGCAGGCACGCACGCACGCAAAUAAAGCACGCGACGAAAGAGAAGUUGGCCUCGCAGCCACGGACGGUGGAGGCUAUAAAUGUGGGGGUGCUGAUGACCAGCUGACGUGCGAGCGUAGGUGCGACUCGAUUCCUGCUCUCAACUGCCCCUCCCCUGCAUCUCCCUAAUAAUUAUUAAGACGAUGAUGAUUUGCUAUUCCAUUCCAUGCAUGCAUCUCAAUCUCACCGGCCUGCCCAGCACCAGCAAUUAAGAUGCACACAAGCUACGCAUGAUCCCUCCCUCCCUAUUGCUCUGCUUAAUUAAGCAGGCUACCUAGCUGGAGGUUGAUUGGAUGGUCACAGGCUACUCCACCCAAAAUUUAAUUAAAAGUAGCUGCCAUUUAAUUCUACGAGUAUACAACAGGUAUUAGUACUAGCUAGCUGCUGCAGGUCGUCGUCUUCCUUUUCUUUUCUUUCCUCUUUGCAAAUAAAGCAACUAGGACUUGUUCAAAUAAAACACUCCUCUAGUACUCAACAGGAGAGGUGGGAAAUUAACCUUGAUCAAAGAACACAAGAGAGAGCUACUUGCAGCACUUGGGUUGAUCCAUAUGAUCCGUCGGCUAAAUUAAACUAACUCACAGCUGCAUCAUGGAUACAUGUACUUGCCUAAUAAUCUAGCUACAUCCUCCUUAUUAGCAAGCUAGCUAACUUAACUCGCCUCUGCUACUACGAGCUGAUAGAGGACGUACGAAAGAAGAAGAAGAAGGAAGAAGCUAAGAUCAAACUAGGAAGGGCAGCAACAAACACAUGACCGGUUAAAUUAGAGGGACACUGCAGAUCGAUCCCAAA
rnacentral:lncRNA from 1 species